rnacentral:rRNA from 1 species
UACGUAGGGUGCGAGCGUUUGUCCGGAAUUAUUGGGCGUAAAGAGCUUGUAGGCGGUUUGUCGCGUCUGCUGUGAAAAUCCGGGGCUCAACCCCGGACUUGCAGUGGGUACGGGCAGACUAGAGUGUGGUAGGGGAGACUGGAAUUCUGGUGUAGCAGUGAAAUGCGUAGAUAUCAAGAGGAACACCAGUGGCGAAGGCGAGUCCCUGGACAACUUCUGACGCUGAGGCACGAAAGCUAGGGGAGCAAACAGG